AUACGGAGGGUGCGAGCGUUAAUCGGAAUUACUGGGCGUAAAGCGUACGUAGGCGGUUGGUUAAGGUAGAUGUUAAAGCCCCGGGCUUAACCUGGGAACUGCAUUUAAAACUGGCGAACUAGAGUUGAGUAGAGGGGAGUGGAAUUUCAGGUGUAGCGGUGAAAUGCGUAGAGAUCUGAAGGAACACCAGUGGCGAAGGCGACUCCCUGGACUCGAACUGACGCUGAGGUACGAAAGCGUGGGUAGCAAACGGGAUUAGAAACCCUAGUAGUCC
rnacentral:rRNA from 1 species